rnacentral:tRNA from 2 species
GCGGUCGUAGUCUAGCCUGGUAGGACGGUGCCCUGCCACGGCACUGACCCGGGUUCAAAUCCCGGCGGCCGCA